rnacentral:rRNA from 1 species
CGUAUCACCCAAGACAACUUUACGGAGUUGACGAUUGACGGAGCGAAGCGACGUCAAAGCGUUCAUUAAAGUCGAGUUGGCUUAGGGAUACGUUCGUUGGGUAGGGGAGCGUUCUGUAAGCCUGUGAAGGUGUGUCGUGAGGCAUGCUGGAGGUAUCAGAAGUGCGAAUGCUGACAUAAGUAACGAUAAAGCGGGUGAAAAGCCCGCUCGCCGGAAGACCAAGGGUUCCUGUCCAACGUUAAUCGGGGCAGGGUGAGUCGACCCCUAAGGCGAGGCCGAAAGGCGUAGUCGAUGGGAAACGGGUUAAUAUUCCCGUACUUGGUGUUACUGCGAAGGGGGGACGGAGAAGGCUAUGUUGGCCGGGCGACGGUUGUCCCGGUUUAAGCGUGUAGGUGUGUGUUCCAGGUAAAUCCGGUUCACUUUAACACUGAGGCGUGACGACGAGGCACUACGGUGCUGAAGCAACAAAUGCCCUGCU